GAGGCCUUCAAGACGGCGGCGGCGAUGGUGCUCGUCCAGAUCCUCUACGCGGGAGUCAACAUCUUCUACAAGCUCGCCCUCAACGAUCGCAUGGAUAUCAGGAUCAUGGUUACCUAUCGAUAUCUCUUUGCUGCUGCUUCUUUGAUCCCGAUCGCUUACUUGGUCGAGAGGAAACGUAGGCCUCGAUUGACCAGGAUGAUCGUUGGGGAGUCUUUUCUCUCUGGUUUAUUUGGAUGCACACUUGCACAGAAUUUAUAUUUGGCCAGCGUGAGUAAGACAUCAGUUACCUUUGCAGCAGCAAUGGGCAACCUCAUUCCUGCUAUCACAUUCAUCUUGGCUUUGUUAUUUAGAUUGGAGAACCUGAGAAUCAAUAAGCUGUCCGGGCAAGCAAAAGUUCUAGGUACUGUCAUUGGUGUAGGUGGUGCAAUGCUCCUCACCUUCUACAAAGGGCCAGAUGUACCACUGUGGUCAUCAAGCAUCAAUCUUCUCCCCAAUAACCAAGCAAAGAUGAGUGAAGUCUAUCCAUGCCCUUACUCGGCCACAGCUCUGGUGUGUUCAAUGGCAUCACUCCAAUCCUUCCUCUUGGCCAUCAUCAUGCAAAGGGACAUGGUUCAAUGGAGGCUGGGGUUUAAUUUCAGGCUACUCGCUGUUUCCUACGCUGGAAUCCUGGGCUCUAGUCUGACUUUCACACUGCUGGCAUGGUGCAUUAGGAAGAAGGGUCCAUUGUAUGCCUCUGUAUUCAAUCCUCUAAAUCUUAUCAUUGUAGCCAUUCUUAGCACCGUGCUAUUGAAUGAGAAGCUACAUCUUGGAAGUAUUUUGAGUGCUGGAUUGAUUAUUAGUGGGUUAUACAUUGUUCUCUGGGGAAAGAAGAAAGAAGCUAAGAAGCCCGUGGAGUUAGACCACAUGUCUGUAAGAGGACCAAUGGAUUUGGUUAUAGCUCGAGGGGGUUCUACUCAUAGUUUGGCACAAGAGGAAGAGGAGGAGAUUGAUAUAGAGCAGCAGCUUGCAUUUGCUUAUGAGGAGACGCCACAUGGCCCACAUGGACAAAAGUUAUAGAAUAGUGGUAGUUUUGAAAUUUCAUGCAAAAACAAGCGCUAAAUCAGUAAUAACAUGGCUAGAACUCUUUUUUAAUAAAGGACAUUGAAUCAGAGUCAUAUUCUGGUUGCCAAACCCUAGCACUUUCACUGCCGCCGUUUCUUUGGCUGCAUCGUAAAUUAGGGGUUUUUUCUAUGCAAUUGAUUUUUGAAUUCGAUGUGAGAAUUAACACUGAUCUUUUUGUGAUUUUUGUAGCUCGUUGAUGCCCAGUGAUGGAAAACAUAGAAUUUUGAGCGGCCGCCUGGUUUCCCUUUUGAGCAUCAUUGCAGCUAUACGAGCCACUUACCAUGCAGGAUUUCUUGGACUUUGGCAGGAUUCAUGGUCCAUUAAAAAAAAU